UUAAGCGACUAAGCGUACACGGUGGAUGCCCUGGCAGUCAGAGGCGAUGAAGGACGUGCUAAUCUGCGAUAAGCGUCGGUAAGGUGAUAUGAACCGUUAUAACCGGCGAUUUCCGAAUGGGGAAACCCAGUGUGUUUCGACACACUAUCAUUAACUGAAUCCAUAGGUUAAUGAGGCGAACCGGGGGAACUGAAACAUCUAAGUACCCCGAGGAAAAGAAAUCAACCGAGAUUCCCCCAGUAGCGGCGAGCGAACGGGGAGGAGCCCAGAGCCUGAAUCAGUGUGUGUGUUAGUGGAAGCGUCUGGAAAGGCGCGCGAUACAGGGUGACAGCCCCGUACACAAAAAUGCACAUAUUGUGAGCUCGAUGAGUAGGGCGGGACACGUGGUAUCCUGUCUGAAUAUGGGGGGACCAUCCUCCAAGGCUAAAUACUCCUGACUGACCGAUAGUGAACCAGUACCGUGAGGGAAAGGCGAAAAGAACCCCGGCGAGGGGAGUGAAAAAGAACCUGAAACCGUGUACGUACAAGCAGUGGGAGCCUCUUUUAUGGGGUGACUGCGUACCUUUUGUAUAAUGGGUCAGCGACUUAUAUUCUGUAGCAAGGUUAACCGAAUAGGGGAGCCGAAGGGAAACCGAGUCUUAACUGGGCGUUAAGUUGCAGGGUAUAGACCCGAAACCCGGUGAUCUAGCCAUGGGCAGGUUGAAGGUUGGGUAACACUAACUGGAGGACCGAACCGACUAAUGUUGAAAAAUUAGCGGAUGACUUGUGGCUGGGGGUGAAAGGCCAAUCAAACCGGGAGAUAGCUGGUUCUCCCCGAAAGCUAUUUAGGUAGCGCCUCGUGAACUCAUCUCCGGGGGUAGAGCACUGUUUCGGCAAGGGGGUCAUCCCGACUUACCAACCCGAUGCAAACUGCGAAUACCGGAGAAUGUUAUCACGGGAGACACACGGCGGGUGCUAACGUCCGUCGUGAAGAGGGAAACAACCCAGACCGCCAGCUAAGGUCCCAAAGUCAUGGUUAAGUGGGAAACGAUGUGGGAAGGCCCAGACAGCCAGGAUGUUGGCUUAGAAGCAGCCAUCAUUUAAAGAAAGCGUAAUAGCUCACUGGUCGAGUCGGCCUGCGCGGAAGAUGUAACGGGGCUAAACCAUGCACCGAAGCUGCGGCAGCGACACUAUGUGUUGUUGGGUAGGGGAGCGUUCUGUAAGCCUGUGAAGGUGUGCUGUGAGGCAUGCUGGAGGUAUCAGAAGUGCGAAUGCUGACAUAAGUAACGAUAAAGCGGGUGAAAAGCCCGCUCGCCGGAAGACCAAGGGUUCCUGUCCAACGUUAAUCGGGGCAGGGUGAGUCGACCCCUAAGGCGAGGCCGAAAGGCGUAGUCGAUGGGAAACAGGUUAAUAUUCCUGUACUUGGUGUUACUGCGAAGGGGGGACGGAGAAGGCUAUGUUGGCCGGGCGACGGUUGUCCCGGUUUAAGCGUGUAGGCUGGUUUUCCAGGCAAAUCCGGAAAAUCAAGGCUGAGGCGUGAUGACGAGGCACUACGGUGCUGAAGCAACAAAUGCCCUGCUUCCAGGAAAAGCCUCUAAGCAUCAGGUAACAUCAAAUCGUACCCCCAAACCGACACAGGUGGUCAGGUAGAGAAUACCAAGGCGCUUGAGAGAACUCGGGUGAAGGAACUAGGCAAAAUGGUGCCGUAACUUCGGGAGAAGGCACGCUGAUAUGUAGGUGAAGUCCCUCGCGGAUGGAGCUGAAAUCAGUCGAAGAUACCAGCUGGCUGCAACUGUUUAUUAAAAACACAGCACUGUGCAAACACGAAAGUGGACGUAUACGGUGUGACGCCUGCCCGGUGCCGGAAGGUUAAUUGAUGGGGUCAGCGCAAGCGAAGCUCUUGAUCGAAGCCCCGGUAAACGGCGGCCGUAACUAUAACGGUCCUAAGGUAGCGAAAUUCCUUGUCGGGUAAGUUCCGACCUGCACGAAUGGCGUAAUGAUGGCCAGGCUGUCUCCACCCGAGACUCAGUGAAAUUGAACUCGCUGUGAAGAUGCAGUGUACCCGCGGCAAGACGGAAAGACCCCGUGAACCUUUACUAUAGCUUGACACUGAACAUUGAGCCUUGAUGUGUAGGAUAGGUGGGAGGCUUAGAAGUGUGGACGCCAGUCUGCAUGGAGCCGACCUUGAAAUACCACCCUUUAAUGUUUGAUGUUCUAACGUGGACCCGUGAUCCGGGUUGCGGACAGUGUCUGGUGGGUAGUUUGACUGGGGCGGUCUCCUCCUAAAGAGUAACGGAGGAGCACGAAGGUUGGCUAAUCCUGGUCGGACAUCAGGAGGUUAGUGCAAUGGCAUAAGCCAGCUUGACUGCGAGCGUGACGGCGCGAGCAGGUGCGAAAGCAGGUCAUAGUGAUCCGGUGGUUCUGAAUGGAAGGGCCAUCGCUCAACGGAUAAAAGGUACUCCGGGGAUAACAGGCUGAUACCGCCAAGAGUUCAUAUCGACGGCGGUGUUUGGCACCUCGAUGUCGGCUCAUCACAUCCUGGGGCUGAAGUAGGUCCCAAGGGUAUGGCUGUUCGCCAUUUAAAGUGGUACGCGAGCUGGGUUUAGAACGUCGUGAGACAGUUCGGUCCCUAUCUGCCGUGGGCGCUGGAGAACUGAGGGGGGCUGCUCCUAGUACGAGAGGACCGGAGUGGACGCAUCACUGGUGUUCGGGUUGUCAUGCCAAUGGCACUGCCCGGUAGCUAAAUGCGGAAGAGAUAAGUGCUGAAAGCAUCUAAGCACGAAACUUGCCCCGAGAUGAGUUCUCCCUGACCCUUUAAGGGUCCUGAAGGAACGUUGAAGACGACGACGUUGAUAGGCCGGGUGUGUAAGCGCAGCGAUGCGUUGAGCUAACCGGUACUAAUGAACCGUGAGGCUUAACCUU
rnacentral:rRNA from 1 species